rnacentral:lncRNA from 1 species
UCCAUUUACCACCCCAACACCACCACCACCACCACCAUCCAUAUCCACCUCCAAACCAGCACUACAACAACCGGCUUCACCAUAGCACCACCUACUUCAUAUAAUAAUAAAAACAAAUUUAAUUAAAACCUAUCUGUUCGGCAAGCUCCACCAUCGCCGGUGAACUACCAUACUCACACUCACAAUCGAUACCAUACGUCACAAUCGCCGCCGGAAUCAAGACUUAGUACCACUCGCCGUUGAACUAUCAUACGUCACAAUCGAUAUACGACUCACCGCCGCCGCUGAACUACCACCCUCCACAACCUCCUCCUCCCUGCAUCAAACUGUCGGAAUCACAAACCUCGGAGAACUGCGGCGAACCCACACCCACACCUCCAACGACCUGCUCCUUUUCCUGUUUUGAUUAAAACCGGUCACCACCACCAAUACAAUGGUACCCGCCCUUUCACUAUCUUUUCAGCUUCAUCACUCGUAACCCUAGUUAACUAUCAAUUCCCACUUCUCUAAUUCCACUAUAAAUGUAACAAUAAUCAUUGAGAAAUGAGUACAGAUCGAAAGUUCAAAAUGGUUUGCUUUGCUUUGAAGAUCUUGUACAUAACUUGAGCAUAAGAAAUCAACACCCAACUGUACGAUUAACGAGAUUAACGGAUCAUACGAUUUGAGUGGCGGAACGUCACAGAUGUAAGUCCAUCGGCUCAUAUGAUUUAAGUGGCGGAUCAUACGAUUUAAGUGACGGGUUAAACGCAGAUGUAUGAUUGAAGGUGCGGUAACUUCGGAGACGACGGUCGGAGAAAGGGCUCCUUACCGGAGAAGAAAGUAGGGUGGGGGUGGGCUGGGAUUGGAUUUAAUAAUAAAAGGUGGGUCCAUUUACUUCUUAAAUGAUAAAAAAUAUAUAUUUGUUUUAAUGUUUUAAUUAAUGUAAGGGUAUUUUUGUCAUUUUACACACACU